GUGCUCACUUCGGCAGCACAUGUAAUAAAAUUGGAACGAUACAGAGAAGCUUACCAUGGCCCCUGUUCAAGGACGACAUACAAAUUCGUGAAGUGUUCCAUAUUUAA
ensembl:snRNA U6 U6 spliceosomal RNA